rnacentral:rRNA from 1 species
UAGGGAAUCUUCCGCAAUGGACGAAAGUCUGACGGAGCAACGCCGCGUGAGUGAAGAAGGAUUUCGGUUCGUAAAACUCUGUUGUUAGGGAAGAAAAAAUGUAUAGUAACUAUAUACAAAAGAGACGGUACCUAACCAAAAAGCCACGGCUAACUACGUGCCAGCAGCCGCGGUAAUACGUAGGUGGCAAGCGUUGUCCGGAAUUAUUGGGCGUAAAGCGCGCGCAGGUGGUUUAGAAAGUCUGAUGUGAAAGCCCACGGCUCAACCGUGGAGGGUCAUUGGAAACUAAUAAACUUGAGUGCAGGAGAGAAAAGUGGAAUUCCUAGUGUAGCGGUGAAAUGCGUAGAGAUUAGGAGGAACACCGGUGGCGAAAGCGGCUUUUUGGCCUGCAACUGACACUGAGGCGCGAAAGCGUGGGGAGCGAACAGG